GCCGGUUUCCCUAGAUGAUCUUCACCGGUUGUCCUGGGUGACCGGCACGUUUACUUUGAAAAAAUUAGAGUGCUCAAAGCAGGCGCGUAGCCUGGAUAAUGGUGCAUGGAAUAAUGGAAUAGGACUUCGUUUCUAUUUUGUUGGUUUUCGGAACACGAGGUAAUGAUUAAGAGGGACAGACGGGGGCAUUCGUAUUGCGACGCUAGAGGUGAAAUUCUUGGACCGUCGCAAGACGAACUACUGCGAAAGCAUUUGCCAAGAAUGUUUUCAUUAAUCAAGAACGAAAGUUAGAGGUUCGAAGGCGAUCAGAUACCGCCCUAGUUCUAACCAUAAACGAUGCCAACCAGCGAUCCGCCUGAGUUCCUCAAAUGACUCGGCGGGCAGCUUCUGGGAAACCAAAGUGUUUGGGUUCCGGGGGAAGUAUGGUUGCAAAGCUGAAACUUAAAGGAAUUGACGGAAGGGCACCACCAGGCGUGGAGCUUGCGGUUUAAUUUGACUCAACACGGGGAAACUCACCCGGCCCGGACACUGGAAGGAUUGACAGAUUAAGAGCUCUUUCUUGAUUCAGCGGGUGGUGGUGCAUGGCCGUUCUUAGUUGGUGGAGCGAUUUGUCUGGUUAAUUCCGAUAACGAGCGAGAUUCUAUCCUACUAAAUAGGCGUCCCGAUCACUCCCGUCGGGCGUUCUUCUUAGAGGGACAAGUGGCGUUUAGCCGCACGAGACAGAGCAAUAACAGGUCUGUGAUGCCCUUAGAUGGUCGGGGCUGCACGCGUGCUACACUGAAGGAAUCAGCGUGUGCUUUCCCUGUCCGGAAGGACUGGGUAACCCGUUGAACCUCCUUCGUGAUAGGGAUAGGGGCUUGUAAUUGUUCCCCUUGAACGAGGAAUGCCCAGUAAGCGCGAGUCAUAAGCUCGUGUUGAUUACGUCCCUGCCCUUUGUACACACCGCCCGUCGCUACUACCGAUUGAAUGAUUUAGUGAGGUCUUCGGACUGGCGCUCGGAGCGGCCGCAAGGUCGCGCCGG
rnacentral:rRNA from 1 species